GGCAGUGUAGCUCAGUGGUAGAACGUCCGACCGGUGUGCGGAAGGUCAUAGGUUCGACUCCGAAUGAUUUCUG